GAUGAACGCUGGCGGCGUGCCUAACACAUGCAAGUCGAACGAAACUACUUUAUUAUCGUGCGCUUGCACUCAGCGAUAGAGGGAUGAGUGACGAAUGGAUGGGAAACUCGUUGUUAACCUGACCUAACGAGGGGGAUAUUACUCGGAUACAGGAGCUAAUCCAGCAUAGCAAGCGUUAGAGCAUGGUACCUAUGUAAAAGGUAGCUGCCGUUCUCCGUUUGGAUGGGCGGACGGAGAAUUAGCUAGUUGGUGGGGUAAAGGCUUACCAAGUCGAUGAUUGGUAGACGAAGUGAGAGGUUGAUCGGCCACAUUGGAACUGAGACACGGCCCAGACUCCUACGGGAGGCAGCAGUGGGGAAUCUUGGACAAUGGGCGAAAGCCUGAUCCAGCAACACCGCGUGGGUGAAGAAGGUCUUCGGGUCGUAAAGCCCUUUUGUUGGGAAAGAAAAGCAGUGGGAUAACAUGUUGACGUUUUGACGGUACCUAAAGAAAAAGCACCGGCUAACUACGUG
rnacentral:rRNA from 1 species